rnacentral:lncRNA from 1 species
GUGUGUCUUCAAUAUAGGGUUGGUAAACUUGGAGAACUGGAGUUGUUCAGGAUUGCUGAAGAUGAAAAUUGCUUUAAUCACAGUGGAGCUAAAGGCUAGAGGCGGCAGGAUGUGGCUAAAGAACCACAAAAAGAACAUUCCUUUUUGGAAAGACUGAUAUAUUGUAUUUUAAUGACCCUACCAUUUAAAGUCAUCUGAGGAUCAACCAUCCCUUUUUGCAUCUUUGAAAUGUGUUCAUCUUUGCGGAAUAUAGAAUAUCAUGGUGAAGGUUGAUGGUGAUUGAGGAGUCACAUAUAAAAUAUUAAUGGUGAUUUGGAACUGGAAAAAUGCACAGUUGUAGAGAACUGCCAAGAUGGCCUGUGGACCUUCACUAUUACUGCUUCAAGUAGACUUCUAAAUGUUUCUGCCUUGACCUUUUGUGGAAACAAAAACACGUCUUAGAAGAUCAGUUGAACAAAGCAAGUGAC